UACGUAGGGGGCAAGCGUUGUCCGGAAUUAUUGGGCGUAAAGCGCGUGUAGGCGGCCCGAUAAGUCUGAUGUGAAAUCUUCGAGCUCAACUCGGAAACUGCAUCGGAAACUAUUCGGCUGGAGGAUUGGAGGGGAGACUGGAAUUCUCGGUGUAGCAGUGAAAUGCGUAGAUAUCUGGAGGAACACCGGUGGCGAAGGCGGCAUCCUGGACCAAUACUGACGCUGAGGAGCGAAAGCCAGGGGAGCAAACGGG
rnacentral:rRNA from 1 species